rnacentral:rRNA from 1 species
UACGGGGGGGGCAAGCGUUGUUCGGAAUUAUUGGGCGUAAAGGGCUCGUAGGCGGUUUGUCGCGUCGGGAGUGAAAUCCACUGGCUUAACUGGUGGCUUGCUUUCGAUACGGGCAGACUGGAGGUAUGCAGGGGAGAACGGAAUUCCUGGUGUAGCGGUGAAAUGCGCAGAUAUCAGGAGGAACACCGGUGGUGUAGACGGCUUACUGGACCACGACUGACACUGAGGCACGAAAGCGUGGGUAGCAAACAGG